rnacentral:rRNA from 1 species
CGGAGGGUGCAAGCGUUAUCCGGAUUCACUGGGUUUAAAGGGUGCGUAGGUGGGCUUGUAAGUCAGUGGUGAAAUCUCCGUGCUUAACAUGGAAACUGCCAUUGAUACUAUAGGUCUUGAAUUAUCUGGAGGUCAGCGGAAUAUGUCAUGUAGCGGUGAAAUGCUUAGAUAUGACAUAGAACACCAAUUGCGAAGGCAGCUGGCUACAGGUUGAUUGACACUGAGGCACGAAAGCGUGGGGAUCAAACAGGAUUAGAUACCCUGGUAGUCCACGCCCUAAACGAUGGAUACUCGACAUUUGUGAUACACAAUAAGUGUCUGAGCGAAAGCAUUAAGUAUCCCACCUGGGAAGUACGACCGCAAGGUUG